UUUGGCAAUGGUAGAACUCACACGG
rnacentral:miRNA from 1 species